UAUGAAGAACGUAGCAAAAUGCGAUAAGUAAUGUGAAUUGCAGAAUUCAGUGAAUCAUCGAAUCUUUGAACGCACAUUGCGCCCGCCAGUAUUCUGGCGGGCAUGCCUGUUCGAGCGUCAUUUCAACCAUCAAGCCCCAGGCUUGUGUUGGGGACCUGCGGCUGCCGCAGGCCCUGAAAACCAGUGGCGGGCUCGCUGUCACACCGGGCGUAGUAGAUUUUAUCUCGCUCAGGGCGUGCUGCGGGUUCCGGCCGUUAAAAAGCCUUUUUUACCCAAGGUUGACCUCGGAUCAGGUAGGAAGACCCGCUGAACUUAAGCAUAUCAAUAAGCGGAGGA
rnacentral:misc_RNA from 1 species